UAUACUUUAAUAUAAGAUGUAUGUUAGUUUUUGAUACUAAAAGAAAUAGUUUAAUUCUAUUAAGUAUAAU
rnacentral:tRNA from 1 species